rnacentral:rRNA from 1 species
AUCCUGGCUCAGGAUGAACGCUAGCUACAGGCUUAACACAUGCAAGUCGAGGGGCAGCAUGGUCUUAGCUUGCUAAGGCCGAUGGCGACCGGCGCACGGGUGAGUAACGCGUAUCCAACCUGCCUUACACUCUUGGACAGCCUUCUGAAAGGGAGAUUAAUACAAGAUGUUAUCAUGAGUAAGCAUUUUCGCAUGAUUAAAGGUUUACCGGUGUAAGAUGGGGAUGCGUUCCAUUAGAUAGUAGGCGGGGUAACGGCCCACCUAGUCUUCGAUGGAUAGGGGUUCUGAGAGGAAGGUCCCCCCACAUUGAAACUGAGACACGGUCCAAACUCCUACGGGAGGCAGCAGUGAGGAAUAUUGGUCAAUGGACGAGAGUCUGAACCAGCCAAGUAGCGUGAAGGAUGAAGGUUCUAUGGAUUGUAAACUUCUUUUAUACGGGAAUAAACGGAUCCACGUGUGGAUUUUUGCAUGUACCGUAUGAAUAAGGAUCGGCUAACUCCGUG